UACGUAGGGGGGCGAGCGUUGUCCGGAAUUAUUGGGCGUAAAGAGCUCGUAGGCGGUUCGGCAAGUCACGUGUGAAAUCUCCACGCCUCAACGUGGAGGCGCCACGUGAGACUGCCGUGACUCGAGUCCGGUAGGGGAGCGUGGAAUUCCCGGUCGUAGCGGUGAAAUGCGCAGAGAUCGGGAGGAACACCCGUAGCGAAGGCGGCACCCUGGGCCGGUACUGACGCGUGAGGAGCGAAAGCGUGGGGAGCGAACAGG
rnacentral:rRNA from 1 species